UUGGAGGGCAAGUCUGGUGCCAGCAGCCGCGGUAAUUCCAGCUCCAAUAGCGUAUAUUAAAGUUGUUACAGUUAAAAAGCUCGUAGUUGAACUUCGGGGUUUACCCAUUGGUCAGGCUUAAUUGUCUGUACUGGUGAGAUGAAUCUCUACCUUCUGAGGAACUUUCAUGCCAUUUAUUUGGUGUGAUGGGAAAUCAGGACUGUUACUUUGAAAAAAUUAGAGUGUUUAAAGCAGGCUAGCGUCUGAAUACAUUAGCAUGGAAUAAUAAAAUAGGACGGUGGUCCUGUUUUGUUGGUUUCUGAAUCACCGUAAUGAUUAAUAGGGAUAGUUGGGGGCAUUAGUAUUCAAUUGUCAGAGGUGAAAUUCUUGGAUUUAUUGAAGACUAACUUCUGCGAAGGCAUUUGCCAAGGAUGUUUUCAUUAAUCAAGAACGAAAGUUAGGGGAUCGAAGACGAUCAGAUACCGUCGUAGUCUUAACCAUAAACUAUGCCGACUAGGGAUCGGACGAUGUUAAAUUUUAUUGACUCGUUCGGCGCCUUACGGGAAAC
rnacentral:rRNA from 1 species